AUCCUUUCCCCAUGUUCGUCGGCGUUGCCGACACAUGCCCAGGCAGCCGAGACCUUCAAGGCUGCAAGUGCGGGAAACCGCACAGGUCGUUUCAUUCCAAGGACGCGUCCGCGUCCAUCAACGCCACCCACAAGGGACCUCUCCCUUGCGGGC
rnacentral:ncRNA from 5 species